CCGGAGCGGGGCAGCCGGGAAUAGGGGUCGUGCCGGAGCGGGGCGGGGGAGGAGACUGGUGGCGCCGGAACGGAGCGGCGGUUGGGGCGCCUAGAAGGGACCUAGCUGAGACGGUGGAAGUAGGAUGACGGGGUCUCCUAUAGCUCUACACUCGACCAGCUGUGUUAAGCCCUCGUCCGUAUAGCUUAACCUAGCUCUAGGGCACGCAGUAGUUCAGCGAGACCCUUCCUCAAGCGUCGAGCGCAUGCACGAGAUGUCCUAGUCUGAUUAGAGAGACAGCGGCGACAACAACCGAACGUUAUCUGGUCUGACAAAGUCUCCAUGGUGUUUCACCAACUAAGUUUCAAGCGUGAUAAAUAUAGUGUCCUACCAUGUUUACCUCUUCAUUUUUUAUUCCGGACCUCAAUAUGGGUUUAUUAAAUACGUCGGGUUACUUCACAUAGCGGAACUCGAGGUAAUAAAUCCGGUCUAGAGUACUCUCCACAACACAGUUAACGUAACCGUAUGUUAUUCGACUACAUACCACCAACGGAAGAACAUGUACUCGUUCGCUGACGCCCUCUAGUGCUGAACAAGAAAACUAAAAAAACCAAGUAGUGUACUAGGUAGUUCGGUCGGUUCCCCCUCUAGUCAAUUCUCCACUUCAUCUUUAACCUUAGCCUUAUCCUCCGUAUAGAAGUUGACCAAACUACGUACAACCUUCUCCAGGACUUUCCCUCAUGCAUGGGGUGAUGCGACUCUAGGCCUGUAUGACAGAAGAGUUACCGAGGACAAGACUUUGUGAAGUGCUUGGGACGGACUUGAGUCACACGAUACGUUUAAUACUACAUGACAAGCCGUCAUCAGUAUACAUGACCUCUACAACGACCGAUGUCCCCACUACUGUGGCCUCCAUUCCGUCACGUGGCCCAGCUCCUGCAGCGACUGUGACCCCCGCUCCCGCCGCAGCACUCCUGCCGCAUAACUCCUCUCAAUCCCGACGUUCCGCCCAGCUCCUGCAGCGCCUCUGGUCCCCGCUCCCAGCGCACGGCUCCCGCCGGCCCGCCCCGCCUCGCUCCUGCCGCCCUGCCGCACGGCUGCGCUCCAAGCACCGCACCACCGCAACUAGCGCCUCUAUGCCGUAAUAAGCGACCUACCUCAACAGUAGCAACCCUACACAUCCUCGGACCUGCACCCUCAGACGGCCGUCUUGUAAAGGAAUGUUGGCAGCUAGACAAACAUAAUACCAACUACUUUGCACCUGUCAACCUACCAUCAAUCACCCAUACUAGCCUGCAGACCCCAUUAACACACACGUGAAAGAACACACCUACAUCCCCUUCAUUGCAAACCAGAAAAUUAUCAUCAUAUCUUCAUAUCUACUAUACUUUUAAUAUUAUUCGAUUAAUUUCUACCCGUCGUGAUCCCUAGUCUGAUGACUAGGGAACGAGGGUAGUCUGAUCACCUCGUGGCAUCCUAGUCUUCGGAACAUCGGCAGGUUAUAAAAUUAUACCGGGUGUGUACCAAACAACCAAACCUAGGAAUUAAUUAACGAGGCC
rnacentral:rRNA from 1 species